AGAGUUUGAUCCUGGCUCAGGACGAACGCUGGCGGCGUGCUUAACACAUGCAAGUCGAACGGAAAGGCCCUGCUUGCAGGGUGCUCGAGUGGCGAACGGGUGAGUAACACGUGGGUGAUCUGCCCUGCACUUCGGGAUAAGCUUGGGAAACUGGGUCUAAUACCGGAUAGGACCAUGGCCUGCAUGGGUUGUGGUGGAAAGCUUUUUGUGGUGUGGGAUGGGCCCGCGGCCUAUCAGCUUGUUGGUGGGGUGAUGGCCUACCAAGGCGACGACGGGUAGCCGGCCUGAGAGGGUGUCCGGCCACACUGGGACUGAGAUACGGCCCAGACUCCUACGGGAGGCAGCAGUGGGGAAUAUUGCACAAUGGGCGCAAGCCUGAUGCAGCGACGCCGCGUGGGGGAUGACGGCCUUCGGGUUGUAAACCUCUUUCACCAUCGACGAAGGCUUGCCUUUUUGGGUGGGUUGACGGUAGGUGGAGAAGAAGCACCGGCCAACUACGUGCCAGCAGCCGCGGUAAUACGUAGGGUGCGAGCGUUGUCCGGAAUUACUGGGCGUAAAGAGCUCGUAGGUGGUUUGUCGCGUUGUUCGUGAAAUUCCCUGGCUUAACUGGGGGCGUGCGGGCGAUACGGGCAGACUGGAGUACUGCAGGGGAGACUGGAAUUCCUGGUGUAGCGGUGGAAUGCGCAGAUAUCAGGAGGAACACCGGUGGCGAAGGCGGGUCUCUGGGCAGUAACUGACGCUGAGGAGCGAAAGCGUGGGGAGCGAACAGGAUUAGAUACCCCCGUAGUCC
rnacentral:rRNA from 1 species